rnacentral:rRNA from 1 species
AUACGUAGGGGGCGAGCGUUGUCCGGAAUGAUUGGGCGUAAAGGGCGCGUAGGCGGCGCGGUAAGUCUGGAGUGAAAGUCCUGCUUUCAAGGUGGGAAUUGCUUUGGAUACUGCCGCGCUUGAGUGCAGGAGAGGUUAUCGGAAUUCCCGGUGUAGCGGUGAAAUGCGUAGAGAUCGGGAGGAACACCAGUGGCGAAGGCGGGUAACUGGACUGCAACUGACGCUGAGGCGCGAAAGUGUGGGGAGCAAACAGGAUUAGAUACCCUGGUAGUCCACACUGUAAACGAUGAAUGCUAGGUGUAAGAGGUAUCGACCCCUUUUGUGCCGGAGUCAACACAAUAAGUAUUCCGCCUGGGGAGUACGGCCGCAAGGUUGAAACUCAAAUGAAUUGGCGGGG